AUUGAACGCUGGCGGCUUGCCUUACACAUGCAAGUCGAACGGUAACAGGUUAAGCUGACGUGUGGCGAACGGGUGAGUAAUGUAUCGGAACGUGCCCAGUCGUGGGUGAUAACUGCUCGAAAGAGCAGCUAAUACCUCAUACGACCUGAGGGUUAAAGCGGGGGAUCGCAAGACCUCGCGCGAUUGGAGCGGACGAUAUCAGAUUAGGUAGUUGGUGAGGUAAAGGCUCACCAAGCCGACGAUCUGUAGCUGGUCUGAGAGGACGACCAGCCACACUGGGACUGAGACACGGCCCAGACUCCUACGGGAGGCAGCAGUGGGGAAUUUUGGACAAUGGGCGCAAGCCUGAUCCAGCCAUGCCGCGUGCGGGAAGAAGGCCUUCGGGUUGUAAACCGCUUUUGUCAGGGAAGAAAAGGUUCUGGCUAAUACCUGGGACUCAUGACGGUACCUGAAGAAUAAGCACCGGCUAACUACGUG
rnacentral:rRNA from 1 species